CCACUAGUAGUGCCAAGACGCCUGUUAAAGUUAGCUCAGAUGCCAAUAAGUCAUCCCGUUACAACUACCACACACCUUCAUCUACAAAUAAGAGUUAAAUAAUGAGUGACAUCAGCCAGUGUGAUAAGAUUGAUGAAGAUAAAACAAGUAAGAAAGUAAGACAUUCCUGGAGUUUUAAUAAUUUCGACUUUGGAAUACAGCUACUGAAAGAUAGAAGGCAGAAAAUAUCACACGGUGGUAAAUAUUCCGACCGAUAUAAAGAAACUUUUGCUCAUAACGAAUCAGAAGAUAAAAGUUUAAGUGUUUACGAACGUUUGCGUAAAACGUCGGCUCCCGAUAGACCGGAAAACAUGGAGAAAAACCACACUGCGCUCGAUAAAUUUAAAUUUACGGCAAAAAGUAAAAGCAAUGCUACUAACGAUUUAAAUAAAGCUCACAAUACGUUGACUGGCUACAAGCAAGUCGGCGAUGGGAAAACCCACAAGCCUUUACAAGUGAGUCCUGGUGGCCUCUUGAAAAAGAAGGAUAAGCACGUCUAUCACGUCACAGCUCCCGAGAAAUCUGGCACCCCCUCACCUCAAUCGCAGAAGAAAUCUGUGGCACUUCAACAAAUUUUGGGAGCAACAAACGAUCAUAAAUCCGAAAUGUCUCCCCCUCUACCUAACAGAAAACACAUCCCUGUAAACUUAAUUCUAAAGGAACCCACUGACGGGGACUCUACUAUGGGACAUCUCCAGCCAGUUGAAAUGAUUAUAAGUAAACUGAAUAAAAAGGAGAAGGAAAUUGAAAAUUUGAAAAAAUUUGAAGAUCUGGUCAAAAAAGCGCAUGGACCUCCAGCAAAGGUUAAUCCCACUGUGGUAGAGAAAUCUCAUGAUUAUCUUAAGUCACAGGAGCACAUCUUGAAUCCAAUCAAACACUGUAACGAGGUCGAAGAUUUGCAACAAAAAGAUUUAAGAUUUAUAGAGGAAGUAGAUGGAUCCCAAUUUCAGAGAAAUACGAAAGGACGCAAAAGCUUGACUGUAGAAAAUGACAACAAAAACAAAAAAAACGUGCCCCUGGAUCGAACGGCGUCGGAUGCGCAAGACAGAGAAAUCAAACUUAAACCUCGCAUUACUAAAACAGUAAAUCGUAAUGUUGCAAAGAGCAAUGACAGUUCGGUGGAAUCAACACGAAGCGGUACAGCGUCAACACGAAAUAGACCGAGGGUAGGAGAGGAACCAACAAUAGGAAAAUACAAAUUACUUAAAACUAUCGGCAAAGGCAAUUUUGCCAAAGUCAAACUAGCAAAACAUGUCCCCACUGGAAAAGAAGUGGCCAUCAAGAUCAUCGAUAAAACGCAACUUAAUCCUAGCUCACUGCAGAAAUUAUUUAGAGAAGUAAGGAUAAUGAAAAUGUUAGACCAUCCGAAUAUCGUAAAAUUAUUUCAAGUCAUUGAGACUGAAAAAACGUUGUACCUGGUAAUGGAAUAUGCCUCUGGAGGCGAAGUAUUUGAUUAUUUAGUUCUACAUGGAAGGAUGAAGGAAAAAGAAGCUCGAUCCAAAUUUAGGCAAAUUGUAUCAGCGGUGCAGUACUGUCAUCAAAAAAGAAUAAUUCAUAGAGAUUUAAAGGCUGAAAACUUACUGUUGGAUAGUGAAAUGAACAUUAAAAUUGCAGACUUUGGAUUCUCAAAUGAAUUCACGCCUGGAAACAAAUUGGAUACUUUCUGUGGAAGUCCACCCUAUGCAGCACCAGAACUUUUCCAGGGGAAAAAAUAUGAUGGACCUGAAGUUGAUGUCUGGUCCCUUGGAGUGAUAUUAUAUACCUUAGUCUCAGGAAGCUUACCGUUUGAUGGUUCUACCUUGAGGGAGUUACGAGAAAGAGUGUUGCGAGGAAAGUAUCGCAUACCUUUUUAUAUGAGCACAGAUUGUGAAAAUUUGUUAAAAAAAUUCCUGGUUUUGAACCCCGCCAAGAGAGCCAAUCUUGAAACUAUAAUGAAGGAUAAAUGGAUGAACCAGGGGUACGUGGGUUACGAAAACGACGAAUUGAAACCUUAUGUAGAACCUGAAGCAGAUAUGAGCGAUCCAAAGCGAAUCGAAGCUCUAGUCUGUUUGGGUUUCAACAGAUAUGAUGUUGAAAAUUCCUUGGAUUCCCAAAAAUAUGAUGACGCGUAUGCAACGUAUUUACUACUAGGAAGAAAAAGUACCGACCCUGAAAGUGAUGGAAGCCGGAGUGGAAGUAGUUUGUCUCUUAGAAACAUGGCAGGUCAACCGCCCGUUGGCGCUCCGCAACCAACAGCACAGAGUCCUUCACAUCGGGGUGUUCAUCGUUCGAUAUCGGCAACGCACGCCAAGCCUAAUCGAAGGGCCUCAAGCGGAGGAGGCACGAUAGGUGAGACGUUGAGAACAGGACCACAACCGCAAGUACCUGCAACACAAACCAAUAAUCACCAAUCAGGUUUUAAAAGACAAAAUACAGUGGAUAGUGCUACAAUUAAAGAAAAUAGUGCUAGACAUACUACUAGACCUGCCAGUGCUCAAGCGAAAACUGUCACCGAAAAUAGUAUACAACCUCCAAGUAAAGCUCGAACUGUAUCUAAGAACACCCCGUUAUCUUUAGGAACCACAGUUGGUCGUCGAUCUACAAUUGGUUCCGAUGGUAAAUCCGAAAGUACAGAAAAAACUAAUCUAGCCGCCGAAGUAGUGAGUUCUGGUGAGAGCGGAGGCACAGGAGAUUCAUUACGGCCUGCGAAAGGUCAUGUUAAAUCUGCUUCAGUCAGUAGUAGUGGGCCAGAACCUGCUUCUGAUCCGCUACGCACUAGUCGCACAAGUGCAUCACCGGCAACGACAAGGCAGCCCGCAUUCCCUAGAAAUACGUCGUCAAGAAGUACGUUCCAUUCGGGACAAACCCGGCCGAGAGCUACUUAUGCGCAAGCAUCACCUGGAGACUCUCCGCAUACGAGACCGUCGUUCUUUGCAAAGUUUAGUCUUCGGGGCUUCACAAAAAGGAAUUAAGGGCAUUGAGGGACGCACCACCGCAUGCCCGAUGUCCUACACAACGUCUCUGCCGCCGCAAUUGGAACGGACACCACACAUCGCCUCAUACCUCAGCAUUAGAUCCCACCCAACAUGUUAAAUAUAGCAACUCACCAUUACCUACCGUAGGGUAAGUUGACCAAAGAAGGAUAAAAUCAAAUAGAAGAACACAGAUAAUAAAUAUAGUUAAUAGAAUAAUUAAAUAUACAAAAAGCCUAUUCAAUUAAUAUCCAAGCUGUCUGCGAUUUUAUAUUUUAAUAAUGUUUUUUUUUUUAUGAUUUAUAUGUUAGUUUUUGCUUUUAUUACUAUUAUAUUACCUUUAAUUAUCUUCAUACCUAUCCUUAUAAAAAUUAAACUGUAUGUUCCCACAAGGUCGUCUUAGUUUAAGCCUUACCAACGUAGGAGUCGUGAUUGGUUAAUACUUGCUUAUUUGGGGCAGAUUCGUUAAAUAUGGUUAAAUAUAGUUAAAGGCAUAUCUAAAUAUUUAUAAUUUCGUUAAACGUUAAACUGCAUAUUAUGAACUGUUUUGUGCAGUUUAACUCUUAAUAUUGAUUUUUACCAAAUUUUGAGCACGCAGUACAUAUAAUGUCAAAACUACGCUUGGAAUAAAUUUAAAAUACUGGGACAAAUCAGUUGGUUAUCUUAGUUAUCCUAUUUUCGGUGUUCAUUAUUUUUUGCGACGUCGUUAAUUUUAAACCGUGAUUUCUAAUGCAAUUUUUAAAUGAAAUGCUAUAAAUUUUAUUUUUCUAGAAAACUCGUACUUAUCUAUAAUAGAUUAUUUCAGUUGUAAGUUGCAGCGGAUAAAACCCCAUUAAGAAUGUUUUUAUCGGAGAGACUUUGAGGCGGCGUUGUCAAUUGUUCCACUUUUUUUUUUAAGUCUGCAUAUAAAUCUUAUGCAGUUUGCAGUAUUUGUUAUUCUGCUGCUAUUAAUGUUCAAUUUAAACUUUUAUGUAUUAAAAUUUCACUGUGAAUUGCAUUUUUUUUUUUUAAUUUUCGUAUUUCUCAAUGAUAUUACAAUCAGUGACAAGUUUUUUCUUCUACUUUCGAAUUUUUGAAAUCCGGUGUUGUUUCAACAACAAACUGCGAUUUACAACCAAAUUUUAAUAAAUCCAAAUCUAAUCUUAGCAGGAAUAAAUGACGUUAACUUGCAAGAAAUUUUUCAUAACUAAAGUGGUCGCCACGAAUUCUCUAAUGUAGAAUGCAUUGUUUAUGCAUUUCAUACACCGCCAACGGUGAAACGUACAGCAAUUUCUUAGAUAUUUAUUACACUGUUAAUACAAAGAACAAUAGUUAUUAGCUUCGAACCUUAAAACUUGUUAUUGUAAAUUAUCUGUUUAGAUUUUAAACGAAAUUCAAAUGAUUUAUUGUAUUUUGAUGGUUCUAGGUUGUGUCAAAGUUCUUUUUUUGUAUCAUGUAACAAAAACGAAUUUUUUGUUUGCGUAAAAGUGAGGUUAUCCAAAGAACAGUUAAAUAGGAAAAGAUUUAGUGGGACUUUCUUAGAAACAGUUUGUCAACACCAUGUAUAAAAUUUAUUGUUUUCACAGCAAAAGAAACAUUAAAUUGAAUAAUAAACUAAAAUAUGAAAGGGUAAAAAUAAGCGAGAUCGGUCGGAGAUACACGUUUGAAGCUUCAGUUUCCACUAGUUAAUUGCUAUACUAACGACAGGGGGAUCUUUUAAACUUGUAAAUUAGUGAUUAAUAUAGGUUUACGUAAAUAUCGGAUGUAUAGAAUUUCUGAAAGUUCCUUAAAAAGUUAAUGAAUACAUAUAUAGAUAAAUAUUUUACAUAUCCAGUAUGUUUGCUUCCAAAAAAAUUAUAAAUCUAUAGAACAAAGUAGGGUUAUCACUUGACGUAUUCCAAACACGUGUAAGGUGGUAUUUAAUUAUAUUAUUUAUUAAUAAAACUUAUUGGCAGAAUGUUAAUUUAUACUUUACAAAGAAGCUAUUUAUGGAACAGGAAUGUUUGUUUUUAUCUAAGAUGAACAACAGUUCAUGUAACAAACAUACGUGUACCUCGUGUAAGUCUAAAAGCUUUUGAGAGUAAUUUUACUGGUUUCUUAACGUCAUAAAUAUAGUAUGGAAAAACUAAUUUACAGUGACCUUGUCCUUGUUAAUGUUUGUGACUUGCAGUAAAGUGAAAGCACUAAUAUACAUAAAGCACUGUUUCGCAUAAUUUCCACAAGGCGUACAUUUUACAUUUACUUUUCCUACUUUGUAUGAUUAGUUAUUAUUAGACAAAAUUCAAUCGAUAUGCUUCUUCUCACUCGAUUGUCUCAGUGACUUUCACAUUUUUCAUUUACAAAAUGUAAUUAACAAGCGAUUUUGUAUGAAAAUAACGUUGAACUCGUAGUAAAUAUAAUUCAAGCGGGUUAAUUUUCCACCAUGUUUUCCACUUUACAAAUGGCAAGGGUAACUGAACGUUAUUUCCAACACUGGGUUGUGCUGUGUUAUUUAGCAAACAACGAGUAAAAUCAUGAAGUGUGAAUGUGAAAUAUUAUUCAUGUCUCAUGAAUAUGAGCUGAUUGGGAAUAUAUGCAUUCAUUGAAAUUUUUUUUUAUCUGUCCAGAUUGAUUUACACUUAUGACACACUCGAUAUAAUCUGAGAAGUGAGUUGCUAAAAUGUUAGUCUCUUUUAGAUGCGUCUGUUGAAUCUCUUAUUAAAAUCAUCGAAACAAUAUUUCCAAAUGCAUAUUUUCUAAUAAAACAGAUUUAUAGUAACACAUGAAUGCUAAAUGUACAAAAUUGAGAAAUAACUGUCACAAAAUAAUCCAUUUUUCUUUAAUCCCUCUAGACUUUAAGUAGAAAAACAAAUUGAACAUUUUCAAUUUUUAUUAGUUGUUACAGAUUUUUUUUUACCAUCGUCUGAUGCAACUUUGUACGUCAAAAUGCGCUAUCAUUAAUUUAAUUAUUAAUAUUGCUGCAAUGUGUACUAAACAUAUAAGCCAUUGUCUGGGCCUCUUAAUGUGUCUGCCGUUACUAAACUUCGCAAGCAAUAAACGCUUCACCAUACUAA